ACUGCGCCGCCUGCCCCUGCCGCACACCUCCACCGUGCCCCUCCCCCGCCGUGGAGGACCCCAUGCUUAGCUCGCGAAACCCUAGGAGCAGCAGGAGGUGAAGUUUGGCUGGCGGCGAUGGACGUGGACUCACGCAUGGCGACGGAGUCCGACUCCGACUCCGACGCGCGCGGUGGCAGCGGGUCCGGGAGCGAGACCCCCACGGCGUCCUCGUCCCCAUCCAUGCUCAAGAAUGAUGGUUUCAGUCAUGUCAUUGCUGAAGACCGAACUGACCAGGUCUACCUAUCUAAACAGAUCUUCAUGGUUCUCUACAACCGCGACAACGUGGAGUCCAUCGGGCUAGACGAAGCGGCCAAAUGCCUCGGCGUGGAGAGGCGCCGGAUCUACGACAUUGUCAACGUGCUCGAGGGCGUUGGGCUCGCCAUCGCCGCCAUCUUCGAGCCUCCCUAAAGCACGGGCGCUGCGGGGUCGUUCCUCACCGGCGUCUCCUUGGCCAACCUGUCCAUCUCCUUCCACCUUAUGCCUAGGGUCGAGUGCCUCCCACCCAUCAAAUCCAAGCAUCAGGAGGUGCUCACCUUUGACAGCGGCCAUCCCUCAACCCUCUGUAGCAUGUGGCGCCCCCGCUGCGAAUUUGCCUCUAUGACAAUUGCCAUCCUCGCAUCCCAAACCGUCGAUGCCCACCCCUAACACGGUUCCUGACCUCCCUGACAGAGGACUUCUCUAAAGGAUAUAACAAGUGGUUACCAGUGUGAACUGCGAAUACAUUCUACUGAUAUUUGUGUCGUGCAAUUGUGAAUAAGUAAGCAUAUUUAAUACUAGCAUAAAAAAUGGUUACUCGGACAUAUGGCCUGCAAUUGUGAAUAAGUGGUCAAGAAAUCCAAAUGGAGUCCCUCUAGAAUCUCUUGGAUAUAAGCAAGGUUACAGAGUUGAUGUGGAUAUUCCUGACCAAACAUGGGUAGAGGCAUGUAGCUUCCAUGAUGUUCUUAUUUUCAACACUGGGCAUUGCUGGGAUUCCACAUCUUAAGUGGUUUGGGGUGGAGGGGCAGUACAAUGUCAUGGUGAUUGAUCUGCUUGGUCCAAGUCUGAAGGGCUUAUUUAACUACUGCAGCAGAAAGUUCUCACUUAAAACAGUACUAAUGCUUGCUGAUCAGAUGAUCAGUGUUGUUUGCUACCUGGCACGUUGGAGUCCAGCGCGUAUGCCGCCUCCGAUAAACUCAAGUCCAUCGGUCAGUCCGUCGAUGACCACGAUAUUGUCGCUGGUCUCCUCUCGAACCUACAAGAUCGUGGAUUACGUCGAAGCAGAUACAGCUCAUCUAUCUGCACCUGGUCUUGGGGUGGAAUUUGGGUCAACACAUGACCAUGCAUGUUAUGUAUGCGGUGCGCUGUUUCAAGUGCUUGAGCAAUCAGGAACAGAUAGUGGAGUUACUUGAACGUGAAAAAUUGGAGAAGAAGCUGCAGGAUCCAGCUGCAGAACCAAUAUGUUUGCCAGUAGAAUUUUUGAAAGCCAUCACAUGCAAUUUUUCAACUGAACGAGAACUUGGCAGGGUGAGUACGGAGUAGUGUACAAGGGAGUUCUGCAUUGAGCUGUCGUAGAGAGCGCAGACAGGCACUCUAGCCAACGUUGUUGGCUAGGAUUGGGACACAAAAGCGAGACGAGGGAUGAGAAGCACAGGAGGAGUCGGUCUGUCCUCAUCAUCGAUAUAUGCAAGCCAUCCAGUGCUUUGGAGUUGAUAUGGUCGGCUGAGAAGUUGAGGAAGAAGUCAUUUCUACCUAUAAGCUAGGGGAAUCAGAUACGCCACAGGCUGCGCGAUGGUGCUGUGGGUCUUCGGCUACGGCUCCCUCAUCUGGAACCCCGGCUUCGACUUCGACGACAAAAUCCUCGGCUUCAUCAAGGGCUACAACCGCACCUUUAAUCUCGCUUGCAUUGACCACAGAGGCACACCGGAGCAUCCGGCGAGGACCUGCACGCUUGAAACCGACGACGAGGCCAUAUGCUGGGGAAUUGCAUAUUGUGUCAAGGGUGGUCCAGAAAAAGAGCUAAAAGCAAUGUAGUACUUGGAGAGAAGAGAGUGUGAGUACGACCAGAAGAUAUCCAUUGAUUUCUACAAGGAAGGAGAUCCCUUGAAACCAGCUGUGACGGGCGUCUUAGUGUUCAUUUCCACUCCAGAUCCAAUUGGCAACAAGUACUAUCUUGGCCCUGCUCCUUUGCAGGAUAUGGCAAGGCAAAUUGCUACAGCCAAUGGCCCUACUGGCUAUAAUAGGGAUUACCUGUUCUCAAUGGAGAAGGCAUUAGCCAUCAUUAGCCACGAAGAUGAUUCGAUCCUAGAGCUUGCAAACGAGGUGAGGAAGGUGCUCAACAGAACAAAGGAGACCAAGAUCACUGGGUGCGUGAACUCUUCUACUACCUCAAGGGUGAGCAGGUGGACUAUGGCGAGGAGCACAGCAAGGCUUGUGGCCACAACAGGUUUGGGAGAAUAUAUCACACAGGGCACUAUCCUGUUUGUUACGAGCACAACCCAGUGCAUUUUGUGGGGCACUCUGUUGGCACACAGGUUGUGAGGGUGCUGCAUCAGAUGCUUGCCGACAAGCUAAUUGCACUUGAUAUGGGUGCAUUAAUUGCUGGUGCCAAAUAUCAUGGAGAGUUUGAGGACAGACCCAAGGCUGUUCUCAAAGAAGUUACAUAUUCUGAUGGGCAGACCAUUCUUUUCAUUGAUGAGAUUCACAAAGUUAAUUGUUGGGGCAGUUGCAAAUGCCAUGGCUGCAAAAAGCAAAGUUGCUAUUGCGGGAGCUGAAAACUGUGAAGGCAGAUUUAUCUUUUGCAAAGGAACGCUAUGCUCAGCUUGAAGAAGAGAAUAAAAUGUUGCGUGAGAGUUAUGACAUGGGUGAUAAUCCAGAAGCUAAUGAUCAGCUGAAAAUGAUCCACAUGAUGGGAAGAGAAAGUGUGUAGCUCUCUGGCCUAUUUUCCGUAUUUCUCAUCAAAGGAGCCACAUCAUAUAUGGUCUUUACUACAGAAGGAAGGAGAUAUCGCAGGAGCUUUAUGAGUUCUUGGACCCGGGUUAUGCAUACUGUAAGCUGAUCGCAAAAUGGAAAAGUCAGGUUACGAGCGCCUUUGCUGCCUAAGGUGCAUACAAACGUGACCAAAGGAAUCACCUUGUGUGCUCUCAGUGGGCUUGAGAGUAGCAUCAUCCUUCAAACAUGAUGAUGGGUUUCCAGCUGAUGGUGUCUCUAUAGCUCACUGGUAUCCUUCAAAAAGAAAGUAUGGUGUUGUUUUAUAAGUUCUCAUAUUUAUGACUAAAUAAUUCUAUAGCUCGCUGGAACCCUGUUGAGACUGAGAGCACCAAGGUUGUGAGCGUUUUUGGAGCUUAAUGGCUUAAUGGGUAAAUCUACCAAGGACACACAUAGUUAAGCCUUGCUCAGCUGACGACUGCUAAGGAAUUUCUGUUAAGUGCAGUUUGGGGGGUCUUCUCAACCAUUGCUUGACUUAAGGCAACACAUUAGAGGAUAUUCAUCAGCAUCAGAGGCAAUUCUUCCCAAUCUGAUUUGAGAAAAAAAUUUGUUGGCAACGAAAAAUUAGUGUUUUCUUGCUGAAUCUUGGGGGGCAGAGACUCUUGACGAUGUGCAACCUUUCUUGUUUAAUAUUUUUGCAGAUCUGCAAGCUCUUUUACUUUUACAAGAAAGAACCGGAAUGGUUUCACUUGAGAUUCAAGUAGUGUUGUGAGGCAUGUAACUAACCCAAAAAGGCACUUCAAGCGGGCAAGAAAGUCCAAUGCCCUUCUCAAGCACUUCGAAGCGGCUCUAUACGUCCUACACGUUCUUCGAUCAGAAUUCUUUUUUUCAUUUGUUUUUUUGUCUUGCUAAUGUGCACGUCACUUACAAUGAUACUAUUGAAAAUAUAGGAAUCAAGUAUGUAUAAACACAUGUGUGGCAGACAUUUUCUGACUGCCUUUCGGUUCUUUGGGCAUUAGUACUUGGUCCUUCUGAAG